AGAACGACUCUCGGCAACGGAUAUCUCGGCUCUCGCAUCGAUGAAGAACGUAGCGAAAUGCGAUACUUGGUGUGAAUUGCAGAAUCCCGUGAACCAUCGAGUCUUUGAACGCAAGUUGCGCCCGAAGCCGUCAGGCCGAGGGCACGCCUGCCUGGGCGUCUCAC
rnacentral:rRNA from 7 species